rnacentral:rRNA from 1 species
GUGCCUUCGGGAACUGUGAGACAGGUGCUGCAUGGCUGUCGUCAGCUCGUGUUGUGAAAUGUUGGGUUAAGUCCCGCAACGAGCGCAACCCUUAUCCUUUGUUGCCAGCGGUUAGGCCGGGGAACUCAAAGGAGACUGCCAGUGAUAAACUGGAGGAAGGUGGGGAUGACGUCAAGUCAUCAUGGCCCUUACGACCAGGGCUACACACGUGCUACAAUGGCAUAUACAAAGAGAAGCGACCUCGCGAGAGCAAGCGGACC